AUUGAACGCUGGCGGCAUGCCUUACACAUGCAAGUCGAACGGCAGCACGGGAGCAAUCCUGGUGGCGAGUGGCGAACGGGUGAGUAAAGUAUCGGAACGUGCCCAGUCGUGGGGGAUAACGUAGCGAAAGUUACGCUAAUACCGCAUACGAUCUAUGGAUGAAAGCGGGGGAUCGCAAGACCUCGCGCGAUUGGAGCGGCCGAUAUCAGACUAGGUAGUUGGUGGGGUAAAGGCCCACCAAGCCGACGAUCUGUAGCUGGUCUGAGAGGACGACCAGCCACACUGGGACUGAGACACGGCCCAGACUCCUGCGGGAGGCAGCAGUGGGGAAUUUUGGACAAUGGGCGAAAGCCUGAUCCAGCCAUGCCGCGUGCAGGAUGAAGGCCUUCGGGUUGUAAACUGCUUUUGUACGGAACGAAAAGGUUUGGCCUAAUAAGCUGAGCUCAUGACGGUACCGUAAGAAUAAGCACCGGCUAACUACGUGCCAGCCGCCGCCGUAA
rnacentral:rRNA from 1 species